GGCCGGGUGGCGCAAUGGUAGCGUGUGAGCCUCCUAAAAAGAGGUACCAAUCUAGCUUAAGGUUGUGGGUUCGAGUCCCACCUCGGUCG